UGGUGGAGCGAUUUGUCUGUUUAAUUCCGAUAACGAACGAGACUCUGGCCUAUUAAAUAGUUCGUCGAUUCCGAUCUGUCGGCGUUAACUUCUUAGAGGGACAAGUGGCUUUUAGCCACGCGAGAUUGAGCAAUAACA
rnacentral:rRNA from 1 species